rnacentral:tRNA from 1 species
GUAAAUAUAGUUUAACUAAAACAUUAGAUUGUGAGUCUAACACUAGAAGAAAUAGAAUCUUCUUAUUUACC